GUGGCGGACGGGUGAGUAACGCGUGGACAACCUACCCCGCACUGGGGGACAACAGCCGGAAACGGCUGCUAAUACCGCAUAUGCGCACAGCCCCACAUGGGGCGGUGCGGAAAGCCUUGUGCGGUGCGGGAUGGGUCCGCGUCUGAUUAGCUGGUUGGCGGGGUAACGGCCCACCAAGGCGACGAUCAGUAGCCGGCCUGAGAGGGUGGACGGCCACAUUGGGACUGAGACACGGCCCAGACUCCUACGGGAGGCAGCAGUGGGGGAUAUUGCACAAUGGGGGCAACCCUGAUGCAGCGACGCCGCGUGAGCGAUGGAGUACUCCGGUAUGUAAAGCUCUGUCAGCAGGGAAGAGAAUGACGGUACCUGACCAAGAAGCCCCGGCUAAAUACGUGCCAGCAGCCGCGGUAAUACGUAUGGGGCAAGCGUUAUCCGGAUUUACUGGGUGUAAAGGGAGCGUAGGCGGCGGGGCAAGCCUGAUGUGAAAGCCCGGGGCUCAACCCCGGGACUGCAUUGGGAACUGCCCUGCUGGAGUGCCGGAGGGGCAGGCGGAAUUCCUAGUGUAGCGGUGAAAUGCGUAGAUAUUAGGAGGAACACCAGUGGCGAAGGCGGCCUGCUGGACGGUGUCUGACGCUGAGGCUCGAAAGCGUGGGGAGCAAACAAGAUUAAAUACCCUGGUAGUCC
rnacentral:rRNA from 1 species